UCUCUGCAUGCUCUGAGAUCCAAAAUACACACCUGUGAGCUGGAGAGUCCUGUGGGCUGCAACAAGGUGACACACAAGGCUCAACAGGAUUUCAUUACCUUUUAAAGGGGAGGGCACAAAAAGGAAAUCAAUAGCUGCAUCAUGUGCAGGAAGCUGUCUCCAAAGGGAGGAGGUCUUGUUGGAGAAGCCUCGGCCUCCUGCAGCAUGCUGCUGUUCUCCGUGGGAUCAGAGAGGU